rnacentral:rRNA from 1 species
UGAACGCGAAGAACCUUACCAAGGCUUGACAUACACGAGAACACCCUAGAAAUAGGGGACUCUUUGGACACUCGUGAACAGGUGGUGCAUGGUUGUCGUCAGCUCGUGUCGUGAGAUGUUGGGUUAAGUCCCGCAACGAGCGCAACCCUCGUUCUAUGUUGCCAGCACGUAAUGGUGGGAACUCAUGGGAUACUGCCGGGGUCAACUCGGAGGAAGGUGGGGAUGACGUCAAAUCAUCAUGCCCCUUAUGUCUUGGGCUUCACGCAUGCUACAAUGGCCGGUACAAAGGGCUGCAAUACCGUGAGGUGGAGCGAAUCCCAAAAAGCCGGUCCCAGUUCGGAUUGAGGUCUGCAACUCGACCUCAUGAAGUCGGAGUCGCUGAGUAAUCGCAGAUCAGCAACGCUGCGGUGAAUACGUUCCCGGGUCUUGUACACACGCAAAAA